AUUAUUAUAAUAUUAUUUGAUAUUAUUGGUUUUCUUAUUAUUUUUUUUAAAUCCACUUAUGGUCCGGGUGUUGUUUCUUUUUAUGAUCAAGACCCUCGCUUAAGUGGUUGGCGACCCGAUUUCCUUUUGCAAGGGAGCCAUGAGGGUGGCGACUUCACAAUCCAUUACGUGGCCCAAGUCGUCACCUCUCAAUGUGUUAAAUAACUUAAAUAAAGCAUCACAAUUUAUAGUUUAAAUCUCUAAGAUUGUGAGAUCUUGAAAAAUAAAUUCUAUGUUUUAAGGCCAUAAUAUUUAACAAUAAGUUUUUUAGAUUGCUAGGUGAUCUACACCGAUGUAGAUUAUAAAUUAUAUUGAAAAGUAAACAUUCCCACAUUUCUAACAAUCAAUAGGGUCUAUUUGACCUUUGUGUUCUGCUUCUUUUUUAAUAGAAGAAUCAUGAUGCAUUUUUUCAAAAUACUACCUUUAUGUUUAUAACUGAACACCCUGUAUAAAUACAAAGGCAUCUUUGUUGAGCUGAAUUAACUAUUUAUAAACUACACAAAAAAUCAGCAGCAGCAGGUAAAUAUAUUGAAAAUUGUAAAAAUGUGUUAAGGGUACUAAUAAAUAGUGCCAGUACGCACACUUUUAUUCUGAUCAUAAUCUAUUUAGAACGGUUCAUUGUAACAUUUUAACGAUGAAUCAUACGUAACACAUACUGAUUUGAUUAUAUUAAAACCUGAAAGUGAAUAUUUAAAGCCAUAUAGAGAAAUAUAAUAUUUUUUAAAUAAAAAACCAUUUUUAAUAAAAGCAAACAUCUAUUUACCCUAAAAUACAAUUCUAGUGAAAAUAGUAGUCGCUAAACGUAAUUAAAUAAAGAAGUAUAUCAGACAUGUAUUUAGAGGCGGUAUACUAAGGUAAUUGCCCCCGGUGUCAUUAUUUUAGCAGUAUUAAAAUUUUAAAAUUUUAAAAAUUUAAAAAUUAUUAGUUUUAAUUUUAGUUAUGUAAACUUAAUAGUUCAUUAAUUUAAAUUAUACGCUAUCACUUUUUCUUAUGAUGAUAGAGAUUGUGGAAUAUGAGCAGAAAUUUUGUAUGAAAAUUUUUCAUUCAUGUGUUAAACAUACUUGUUAAUUUUAAAAUGAAAUGAUAGUGUUAAAAAAAUGAGAAUGAUAAUAUAAAUAACUUAAACAAUACACUAUCAGAAAUAGAAAUAAAUAAAAAAUGUACGAAUUGGUAUAAUCUUAUUAGCCUUACGCAGUUAUUUUAGUCUACCGUAAUAAAAAUUUAUUUUUAAAAUCUAGAAUACCUAUGUAUGUAUUUUUGGGUAGAAUGGGGUAAAUAAUUUUUAGUAUGCGCUUUUUAAUCACCGAAAGGACCAAAAAUUACUCUAUUUUAUUAAAACAAUCAUAACUAAAAAAAAAAAAUUUUAAUGUUUUUUUUAUUAUUUAUAACUUUUACCUUAAUAAAAUUGAAAAAAAUUACAACGAAAGACCUUUUUUUCAUUAAAAUAACUAUAACAACAAUAAUCGUAAUAAAUAGCAACCGAUUUAACUAGAUAUUUUAUAUUUUGUUUAAGCUAUUUACUAGAAUUGAGUUUUCAUAAUUAUUUUAAUACUUUAAGUAGAUUUUAAAAUGAGGUUUAAGAGCUCCUAAAAUUUACUUUUACACUACUUAGUGUGUCUAGGAUUGAAAUUUAGGACAGGCUCAAUUAUGGUUAUUAUAAUUUGGACUUAUAGUACAGGCGCUCGUAAGUAAAAAUCAAUUGAAACCAAAUAAAGCUAUAUAUGUUACGUUUUAAUUUCAAUUGUAAACAAUAAAUAAUAUAAUUAUUUAAUUAAGAUAAAACAUGAUUUGUGGAACGGCGUUGAUCUAUUAAAUAUUUGUUUGCUAAAAAUUAAAAAUUUUGAUAAAUAUAGCAAAAAGCAGCUACCACCACUUUUUAGAAUGUAGUAUACUUAUUGCUAUAGGUGAUAUCAUGUUGGUAACAUUUGUUCACAGUUUAAAACACUAAAAAAGAGAGAAAAAGAGAAACAGUGUUUAUGGAUUCCCCACUAUUUCGCUUCGUAUUACUUUUCACGAACAUCAGAUUUUUACUAAACGUCUACACAACGAUUCUACAGCAUUUGUUAUGGCACCCCUGUUGAGUUAUGUCCUCUGCUCGCUCUUUAUACUUGGAAAUUUUCAACGUAGUAACGAGAGGGUCAGAGCUGUCUAACAAACUCAGUGCAGCAUCUUCCAUUUUCUGUUACGUUCAAUGAGUUGGCGGGAAGGUCUACGUUCCUUUGUUAAUCGUUUUUAUAUUCUAAAUCCAUCUUAAGUACUUACAAAGAUGAUGAUAUUACAUUUUCAUUCUGAGUCGAAUUCCGAAUCUGAUAUAUCACUACUACUGGUCGUUACAGUUAAUACAGAUACAGAAGAGCUCGGCCAUACCCCACCAGUACCUGAAACAUAAUAACAUUAUUAAAUUAAAUUAAAAUAAAUGUUAAAAAACAAAAAUACAAGUUAGUCACAUCUAAAAUAUAUCAGUCAGAUUAAUUUCUCACUCGCAUCAUAACCAGUCGUAAAUUUAUUGCUCGCUUUGGCAUACCUUUUUACAAUUUGGGUGAUGCCACUCCUUAUUCCGUUUUCUAUGAACAAAAACAUAUCAUAGGUCGUUAAAAGUUCAAUCUCUACUUAAGUUAUUUUCAGCAUGGCAUCAAAUGAUAAACCAGGAGCGGUAUACAGGUUAUAACCUGUAGUAUAAACAGGGGUCUAGUCCAUAGGUUGAUAAUCAUAGGUCUCUGAAAAAUUAAUGAAAAUCACAAAGAAGGUGUACAUCCAAUUCAUUGUACCAAAUAACGUAAUCUUUUAAAGUUUGGAGGUUGAACUGCCGCCAAACAUUUUGAGCGUGUGCAUAAUCUUUUAGUGAAAUCUGUUUUUCUGUAAGUGAACUAAUAUAAAAAAUAUAUUCAUGAAUGAUAAUAUAUUAAAAUAUUAUUUAUAUACCAAGUUGUUUUGUACAGGGUCCGAAGUACACUCUAAGUGUAUCCAAAUCAAAUUCAAUUUAGAAAAUAAGUUUAAUUUAAUUCUAAGUGAAAAAUAUGUGAAAAUAAUACAAAAUCAAGAAUCAAUUUACUUUUGCUCGAUAUGACCACCUUUUGCCUUGACUAUGACUUUGAGACGGUCCAGGAACGAAUCGCAAGCUGUCCAAAUGUGAUUUGCAGGUAUUUUGGCCCACUCGCGGACAAUGGCUUUUUUUAACGCCUCUAGACUAGUGAAUUUUUUAGUUCGGACCUUGCUUUCUAAAAUGGCCCAAAGAGAAUAAUCCAUCGGAAGCCGAAAUCCCUAUCAACAACGCGAUCACGGUUUAAAUCAGAAGUUUUUAAUUUUUUCGUAGAUGUACUAACGUACUCCAAAUCGACUUCGAACGCAUGGUGGUUAUGCGGGUAUCGGUUACUAAUUUUACUCCGGGUUGUUCUGGUACUUCUUGUUUUACUGCCUUUGUGGCCACUGUACACUUUGUCACUCAUAAUUAAGUACUUUUGAAUAAAAUUUUUACAGUUAAAAAAUUUGAUAGAUAUUACCCCUUAAAUAACGAGACUGGAUACGAAAAAGAGUUUUAUUAUAAAAAUUAUUCUACAUUGGAGGAAUGCUCCCCUUUAAUAUACUCCCCUCACCUCAUCACACACUUUUCAACACGUUUUUUCCAUUGAUCUAAGCAGUGUUGGAAGUCUUUGGCGAGGACCUUUAGAAGCUUCGCUGUUUUUUGCUUAGCCGAUUUAAUAGACCCAAAUCGGGUUCCUUUCAAAGCAGAUUUAAUCUUUGGAAACAAAAAAAAAUCUGGCGAGUAUGGCGCGUGUUCGAGCACUGGAGUACAUUUAUCGGCCAAAUACCGCUUCACAAAUAGUUGCCGCGAACAACGCCACCAGUCGAAAAAAGUAAGUGCUAUGCGUUGGUUGGAUAAGGAACCGUGGUUCCGUGGGCAGUGGUCUAACGCUUCGCAACGCGUGUAUUCGGUUCGACAACAUAAUUUAGCUCGUGUUUACGUCGGGGUUGGCCAUUAGUUAUUUAUAAAGGUUCUACGUUUAUAGAUGCAGUGUUUGGAAUGCCACAGACUGUCUCAACAACGACGCCGGACAGAACAGCUUCUGGAGGAACGACAACGGGAACAGGAACAGGAGCUAAAUCCCUUAACGAAUAUAAAGCAGCUGCAAGAGAGGUUGGAACUAUGGGAGAACCACCAACAAAAAAAACUAAAACGGAAUUGCCUGGAACGGCUAAUGAGGCGGCUAGCGAUGCCGAUACUGGUAAUCCUAUUAUUGCAUUUGCUUCAAUACCCCGUCCUUUUGACUACGCUGUCGGGUACUCCGCGGUUUUUCUAAAAAACCAUCAAUUUGUUAGUUACGGAAUUGCGUGGCUUGUUAAGCCUGUUGGUGCGGACAUUGCUAGAGACAGUCAUUUUGCCUCCACCAGUUUAGCGGAAAUACCAGUCGAUAGAGUACAUUUGUAUUUAACAUAAGAAGAAAUAGCGCAAAUACCACGGGGCGAUCGGAUUGUAAAAGUUAAAUGCACGGUUGUUAUGCGAAAUCCCCGAACAGCGUUUGAAACCGCUUCAACUACAUCGUCGUCUUUGGCUACUUUAAAUCAAAAUAAAUUUGGUGUGUAUGCCGUAGGCUUGAAUGUAAAUACCACCGGAGUGAAUAGAUCGUAUACUUUUAACGCUACGGAGCCCAUGCAAGUGGACAAUAUAAAAAGCGAUAUGGACUAUAAAAAACAAUAUGAUGUUUGGUACGGUUCGCUGGAUAACGAUUCAUCUUUUACGGACACAUUACCAACUUAGUUUAUGAAUUUACCGUCUAUUUUGACACACUAUUACACUAUGUAUCACCGUCAAGUGAAAGGUGCUGCUGAAUUCACAUGGCAGCGUUUAAACAAAUACAUAAAUAAAUUUGACGCUAGCCACUACAUUGGAGAUCGUAUCGUGUACUACGAAUACGAACCAGAAUACGGUUAUCUGAGCGAACCAAUACCGCAUUUUGGAUCUUAUUUACAUCCCGACCAAAUCGCUUAUACGGAUAUUGGUAUAUCAGAGGGCGCCGCCGUUAAUAUAGUUACAAACAAAACGCCAACGGAAACAAACACAAGCAACAAAACGGCCCUAUACGAAUAUUCGUAUAUCACGACCACCUAUAGCGAAGAAUCUCGAACAUGGAAAAAAAUAAAAGAUACCAGAUACAUAGAUUUAUUAGAUUUGUCCGCUUAUUACCACAAGAAAACGGAUAGACGAAAUCCAAAAGCCCAACCAUCGUUACACGUUGGUAUAUACCCCGUUCCCAAAAUGACUACAACAGAAAACAGACUUAUUCCUUCAAAAUGGACAGAUGUAGAAGCGUUUUGGGACGUCGCAGUAGAGUGUACAGUGGCUUUUGGAAUGUCAAACGAUAUGUGUAGAGCUCAAAAACCCAAAGGGAAUUUCAAUGGGGCGGUACUUCUUUGGUUAACAAUCCUACGCUCAGCACGUGGAUGGAUAAAUAUGCUAUGACGACGUUAACUUAAAAUAGGUUAAAGAACAAUACAAAGUCAUUUCAAUGUCAUUUAAUUAUAAUAAUUGUAUUUUUAAUAAAGUGUUUACACAUA